GAUGAACGCUAGCUACAGGCUUAACACAUGCAAGUCGAGGGGCAGCAUGGUCUUAGCUUGCUAAGGCCGAUGGCGACCGGCGCACGGGUGAGUAACACGUAUCCAACCUGCCGUCUACUCUUGGACAGCCUUCUGAAAGGAAGAUUAAUACAAGAUGGCAUCAUGAGUCCGCAUGUUCACAUGAUUAAAGGUAUUCCGGUAGACGAUGGGGAUGCGUUCCAUUAGAUAGUAGGCGGGGUAACGGCCCACCUAGUCUUCGAUGGAUAGGGGUUCUGAGAGGAAGGUCCCCCACAUUGGAACUGAGACACGGUCCAAACUCCUACGGGAGGCAGCAGUGAGGAAUAUUGGUCAAUGGGCGCAGGCCUGAACCAGCCAAGUAGCGUGAAGGAUGACUGCCCUAUGGGUUGUAAACUUCUUUUAUAAAGGAAUAAAGUCGGGUAUGUAUACCCGUUUGCAUGUACUUUAUGAAUAAGGAUCGGCUAACUCCGUGCCAGCAGCCGCGGUAAUACGGAGGAUCCGAGCGUUAUCCGGAUUUAUUGGGUUUAAAGGGAGCGUAGAUGGAUGUUUAAGUCAGUUGUGAAAGUUUGCGGCUCAACCGUAAAAUUGCAGUUGAUACUGGAUAUCUUGAGUGCAGUUGAGGCAGGCGGAAUUCGUGGUGUAGCGGUGAAAUGCUUAGAUAUCACGAAGAACUCCGAUUGCGAAGGCAGCCUGCUAAGCUGCAACUGACAUUGAGGCUCGAAAGUGUGGGUAUCAAACAGG
rnacentral:rRNA from 1 species